ensembl:lncRNA
UGCCUGGAGCUGUGGUAGCCAUCUUGUGAUAAUAAGGGGAAGGCCAAAAGACUGGGAGACCUGGAACUCAUAUCUGGACCUUGAACGGCUGCUGAAACAACCCUGGAAGCCUGAGCCCCCAGACUUCUUGCCAAGGCACCAGGGAGCCGUGGAAGCCUCCUCAGCUGGGGAGUGAUGUUUCUGCGUCAUCAAACAUUUAUGACAAGACGGAGCAACACAGAGUGACUUGGAAUGAAUUCAACAGACCAAUAUUUUGAAAUCAGGGUGGCUUGACUUCCUUUAGAGAGAACAGUUCUCCCAUCUCUUCGAGGCAUCAUCCAGAGGAGGAAGAACAGCAAGGUUCCCAGUCCCAGAGAGCACAACUCUGGUCACACGUUCCAACUCACCGACCAUGAAGUAGCUUAACAGUCUUCUUCGAAUAAGUGAGAAGGAAGCUCCAUGUACCGAAGAGAGAGCCCUCCAGACCUGUGGUCAGACCUCGUUUCUCCUAUGACCUUAGCCUCAAGAGGUUUAGAUGGAAGCCCUUGGGACCUUGACUGAAAUAGAGAGUGCGUUGGUGGCACGUGGCAAGUUGGACGGAGCUGAUUUGGCCACCACCCAGAGGAGUCCAAGGUGAGGUUCGUUUCCAGGCACUGUGGACUCAAAAGGCAAAAUGCAACAGUAGGGCCAGUGGGUUUGGAAGGGGAGUGGAGAGCAAAGGCUCUGUCUCUGGGGAAUGAUGUUUGAAUAUUCACCCAGUGGCAGGAGAGAAAGGAAGGGAACCGAUUGGGCACCUGCAAGCAUGUUGCGUGCUGGGCUAGAAGGCUUCUUUGCAUGGUUUCUGCAAAUCCUCAUAGCAGCCAGGAAAGGCAGCAGAGGAAACACGACCAGGGACGGCAGGGGUUUGUCCAAGGUCCCAUCACAGCUGGGGGGCCCAAGAGGAAGUCAAACUUAGGUUGUUUUCACUCUAUGCCACAUUAUAAUUUCCACCCCAGCACGAGUCCACCGUGUUGACCCUACCUGUAAGGUCUGGCCGUAACAACCCUCACAGAAAUGAAAUCAAACCACAACUUGGGAAGAAAAAACAGGGGACCUGGAUUUACAUUCCAGUUCUGCAUCCACCCCAGAGGUUGCUGCCACCAUGUUUCAGUGAUUCAAACUCAUAUAUAUUUUUUCACGUCUGAGACAUCAGAGCAUUAAUUUACAUAACGUCUGAGAAAUCAGAGCAUUAAUUUACAUGAUUUCCUUGUCAUAGUUUGACAGUGGUUAUUCUUUCUAGUGGUUCACACAGUAAUGGUGUGCUGUAUAAUUGUUGUGCCUUUAUUUAUGAAAUAUCAUCACCUUCAUUUCUCAUGCAUGAGUAACAACCUGCUCACGAGUGAAUCAGGAAUCUCCUGUCCUCCUCCCUGACCCUCCUCCUAGGACCCCUUCCUCUUGUGCCUUUUGCCUUGUCUUCCCACCUCCUCCCCACGAGCUUGUGCAUAUUUAUCCUGGGUACUGAUGGUUGUCUUGUUAACACUCUCUCCCCUUCCCUCCUUGCAAACAGAAUCCGGAUUUGGAUAGAAGUAUCCACCCAUCAGGGAUGGAGGGGUUAUCCUACCCCUUAGCAAUUAGAUGCCCAAUCGAAUCACAGAUAAUGUCAUUUCUCUCAUUUGUGACUAGUGGGGGUUAGGCUUGUGAGCCAGCUCUAGUUUAAGAAAAAGUGUGCUGGGGGAGGGGGGCUGAGUUCUGGAAAAAUCGCCCUUUUUAUAAACGACACAAGAGGAGUUCCUGUUGUAGCUCAGCAGGUUAAGAACCCGACUAGUAUUCAUUCAUAGGGCUGGCCAUGCUCAGUGGGUUAAGGAUCUGGCAUUGCCUUCAGCUGUAGUGUGGGUCACAGAUGCAGCUCAGAUCCAGUGUUGCUGUGGCUGUGACAUAGGCUGGCAGCUACAACUCCAAUUCAACCCCUACCUAUCCUAGGAACUUCCAUAUGUCACAGGUGCAGCCCUAAAAAGACCAAAACAAAACCAAAGAAAAACAAGAGACAUUUUCUUCUUUCCUCUGAACACAGGUCCAAAUAUGCCUGCAACUACAGGCAGCCAUCCAGGGACCAUAAAGGGGAUCCAGCCUCAGGAUGCUGGGCCUGGCAGAGCAGUGACACCUGGAAGACCCCACAUUCUAAUGACAGAGUUGAGCACUCCUCUGUCCCCAACUUUUCACCCUUGUGCUUGAGAACUCCUAGUCAGGGAAGUCAGAAACUUCCUUAUCAUUCAAGCCAUCUGGAGUUGGCUUUUCUGUUACUUUCAGCUGUUAUAUGCGCUGCCUCAAGGCUUCUCCUCUUGCGUGAACGUCUCCCCUCUGGCUGGGUCCACGUCAUCCUUCAGGUCCACCUCUGAGGUCGCUCCUCGUCACCUCCCUGUAGGACAUGCCUCCUGCCAGUCCCUCCAUCUUGUCCUGUUCUGUUUCCUGUAGAACCCUUGGGAUCAUUAAACCUCUCAUCUAAUGGUACAACACCCUCCCCCCCAACGCUGGAAUGCAGGCCCCUUGAGCGCGCCUCAUCUCACUUCCCAGGACCUAGCCCUGUGCCUGGCAUGCCGUAGGCACUCAAGAAAUCAUUUCCAAGAGAAUGAGAAGCGGGGAGCUGGCAUACUAAACCAGUGCACCUUGCUAGACACCACCUCCCGGAACCUUUCCCCUCCCGCUUUUCGGCUUCGGAUUCCUUGUUUCUCUAGCAGCACCGGCUCCCUGGGUCACAGAGGCAACUUCCAGUCGAUUAAACCUCCCUGGCAUUUCCCCCUAAUCACUGGCAUUCUCCCUUUGCACUCGGACCCUUAAAAAACAGACAACCAACAGGUAAGCAGCUUCCUUCUCCGCCCAGGAUUGAUGCCUAUGUUCCCAAGGCUGAG